GGACUCAAACUCACGAACCGUAAGAUCAUGACCUGAGCCAAAGUCAGAUGCUUAACCCACUGAGCCACCCGGGAGCCCUCACGUUUGUUCCUUAAUAGCUGGGAUGAGAAUGAGGAAACCUGACGCGCCACCACAGUUAGGUUGGUUCUGGACUAACACGUCCAGCAUUUUCGUUUUAAAAUUUUUUUUUAUUUUGAGAGAGACAGAGAGAAGCCCAAGCAGGCUCCGUGCUGUCCGAUUCAGGGUUUGAACUCACAAACCAUGAGAUCAUGCCCUGAGCUGAAACCCAGAGUUGGAUCCUGAAGCGACUGAGCCACCCAGGCUCCCCAACAUGGAUCAUCUAUAUUUUUAAUCUCUGGAGGGUGCAAUAGUUUUCCUUCACGAAGAUCUAGGUAAGUGUUCCAAAGUAGGAAACAAAAGUUGUGGUAUCCUGCUUCCUUUCCUCCUGUGUAUACUUAUUCUUUGUGAGGGUCCCCUAAUCUGUUACCCUCUGAGGGGACUCCACUCUGGGAUCAUCAUUGUGCUUCUGUUAAAAGGAAACUAUGCAGAUGUUUGCCCGGCCAUGUUCCUACCCUUUGGAUUUAUAUCACUCAGAGAGGCAUUUGGAGCGAUCUUUUGACUUAGAUCAAGAUCAGCAAACUACAACCUGUGGGCUGGUCACCUGCAUGCUCUGUUUUGUUUUUAAGCAGCUUUAUUGAGAUACAGUUCACUGUUUAAAGUGUCCAGCUGAGGGGCGCCUGGGUUGCUCAGUUGGUUAUGCAUCUAAUUUCAUCUCAGGUCAAGAUCUCAUGGUUCGUGAGUUCGAGCCCUGUGUCGGGCUCUGUGCCGACAGCUCAGAGCCUGGAGCCUGCUUCCGAUUCUGUGUCUCCCUCUCUCUCCCCCUCCCCUCUUGCGCUCUGUCUCUGUCUCUCAAAAAUAAACAUUAAAAAAAAUAAAGGGUCCAGCCGAAUGGUUUUUAGUAUAUUCAUAGAUGGUGCAACCAUCAACACAAUUGAUUUCAGGCCAUUGUCAUCCCCCAAAACCCAUACCCAUUAGCAUAGCCAAUUGUCCUUCUCCCACACUUCCCACCCCCAGCCCUAGACAACCACGGGUCUACUUUCUUUCCACAGAUCUGCCCGCGCCCGGCGUUUCAUGUGAAUGGAAGCCUACCGCAUGUGGUCGGCGGUGACUGGCUUCGUUCACUUAACAACGUUUUCAAGGGGGCAAAUCUACAUUUUGUCGCAAGCAACGCCUGUUAUUCCCAGUGACUUGGAGGCCCUUGUUCCCCGAAGGGGAAGGAAAUGCAUUUAAGCGCAAGGGAAAGCUGCAAGUAACAGGUAUAAAAGACAUUUGGGGAACUUACGGAAACCUGAAUAUUUAAUAAUAUUAAGACACUAUCAAGGGACGCCUGGAUAGCUCAAUUGGUUAAGUGUCUGACUUCGGCUCAGGUCAUGAUCUCAUGGUUCGUGGGUUUGAGCCCUACUUUGGGCUCUGUGCUGACAGCUCAGAGCCUGGAGCCUGCUUCUGAUUCUCUGUCUCCCUCUCUCUCUGCCCCUCCCCUGCUCAUACUCUGUCUCUGUCUCAAAAAUAAACAUUGAAAAACAAAACUACCAUUUUUUUUCUGUGUGUGAUAAUUUUGAUGUAACAGGAGAAAGAUCUUACAAGAUUUAGGGUAGAACGUUAUAACGCCCGAAGCUCUCUUUCAAACAGUUGGGCAAAAAGAACCACAUACAUGCAGAGUAUAUGCGCAGAGACAAAAUAGGGCAAAAUGUUAACUGUGUUUGAAUUUGGGAGGUGAGCUUUUUUUUCUGUCUGAAAAUUUUAUAAGGUAAAGCUGAGGAAGGAAAGAAAUCUUACCUGACAUUA